rnacentral:lncRNA from 1 species
AAAACUAGAAAUUAAUGAAGAACAAGAAAUAAUUAAUAAAGAAAAUCUAGAACUAAUAAAUACAGAAGUAAAUAAUCUAGAUAAAAAUAUAAUAAAAAAGUAUUAAGAACUAAUAAACCUAUAGAAGGAACAUCAUCGACAACAACUAAACUAACACCUAUAGAAUUAUUAAAAAAAUAUGAAACAGCUAUAAAAGAUGAAUUUGGUAGUACGACAACAAUCGAAGAAGAACAAAAUGAAGAAAAAGAU